AUGCCUCCAGCCCACGAGGGGUCAAAUUUCAGGUUUUACACUUUGGUGUCUCGUCAAAGUGGAAUAUUAAGCCCUUUAAGAGUCGCGGAAGGGUCGGACGCUAGCCUAUGCCACGUCAAAGAUUUUACUGUUGCAGUGAAAACGCGUGGAAUUAAGAGAGAUAGAGAAAAGAGUGCUUGCCUCUCAUCCCACGAAAGUUCCCCUCUCCCACGCUCUUUCCAGGCGGCUAGGGCUGCCGCCGUCGGAGGUGCCACUGGUUCGCCGGCCGCUGCAGUCCCAUCUCCCCUUCCCUCUCCCAGGAUCCUAGGCGGGCACGCCACCCCCUCUCCCCUCUCUUACCUCGUUUCUCCCAUCUUCCUCAAAGAGGAGGAGAGGACGCAACUGGGGCGAUUCAGCGGAGUUGAGGCCGGAGCGGUGGAUCGGAGUUUGCGUCGCGGGAUGGAAGGAAGACGAGCUGCAGGUGCACUCGCUGUCGCCCCGAGCGCUUGUCCUAGGUCAUCUUUGCCUCCUCCCCGCAGCCCCGCCCCCCUGGCUGCCGCCUGGAGCACCUGGCCUUGGUCGUCGUUGCAGCUCCCCAUGGCCCCGCUCCACCACUCCACCACCGUGUUCGCCAUGACCAGUGUCUCUACAGGUCGUUGUUACUGCUGCUCUUCUUCCGUCAGGCAGAAAGGCAAAUUGCAUUGCUGGUAUUACCCCAAAAAAAUUACUUUGGUGGAUCAAGUAGGUGUUGAAUCUGGAAAUCAGGAGAUCAAUCUAUUUGUUUCCUUUGAUACUUUCUCCCAAACAUGGCCUCACUUCACGUUGCGAAGCCCUAAUGGCGGUGCCGGCACUCCUCCUGUCAAGCAGGCCAUACCCUUGUGUGUCACAGGCUUGUGCCUGACGCUACAGGGAGAUGAGCACAUCGGGUGGGAGAAAGAAGCUGUCUUUGGCCGGUUGAGAGGGUCGAUGAGUAGAGAACACUGCAGAUUCAUAGCAUGGCUCGAUUGUGGCGGCACGGUUUGGUUCGAUGGCUGGGCGAGGUCGUUGGGAAAGGAGGCGGACACGGGGAAGGUGGCACGCUCAGUGCCGCUUGACCACGUCAUCCCCACCGAUGCCGAUGAGCUCAGCCUCGGUUGCAGCGGGCUCCUGGCCAUAGCCAUGGACCACCUCGAGCGAAAGCCUACCGCGGUGGCCGACCUCUGUUUGCGGACCCAUUACUCGGGCAAGGCCGCCGCCGCCACUCGCAUCGUCACACCAACUACAAGCACUGGAUAUGGAUAUGUUGAUAAGGUUGCAGAACGCGUGACUGUACAAGUAGGUGUGGUUAACCUUCUAUUGGAGAAACAUGGAGGAACUGGCUUGCAAGGACAUGCAACAUGGUAA
rnacentral:rRNA from 1 species